CUCUCCUCAUGGUACUUAGCACCCCCUGAAAAAAAAUCUUACCUAUUUGUUUGCAUAUCUUCAGUUUUUCCCACUAUACAAAGCAGGAGCUAGACAGCUCUCUUGUCACCAGACCCUUCCCAGAGGUAAGACUGUUGACCCUGAGUCAACUACUCCAGGAAUACUCCAGUGUUUGUACUCACUGCAAUGAAAAUUUUAAACAUAUAACAUCUGAAAUGUCUGCAAGUCUAUUCCAUGUCCUACUACUUUUCCCUCACUUUAGAAUUUCACCAAUCUUUAUGGAAAAUUUAAUUGGAAUGUUUUAUAUUUUUACCUCAACGAUUUUAAAGAGUAUGUAAUCACUCAUUCUUUAAAAAAAAAAAAAAAACCCUCAUAUGUUUUUUUCAAAUAAGAAUUCUGGGAGUUCCCAUUGUGGCUGAACUGUAACGAACUCAGCUGGUAUCCAUGAGGUGCAGGUUCGAUCCCUGGCCUUAUUCAGUAGGUUAAAGAUCCCACAUUGCCGUGGCUGUGGUGUAGGCCGGCAGCUACAGCUCCAAUUCAACCCCUAGCCUGGGAACUUCCAUAUGCUGCGGGGAUGGCCCUAAAAACAAAAACAAACAAAAAAAAGGAAUUCUGAAGUGUUUUUCUUCUUAAAAUGCCCGAUUGUGUGGACUUGAGUAUAGAUUUUGUAUUUAACCAAAUACAUUUUGCUGAAUUUGUUUGGUGAGAGAGAGAGGUUAAUUAUGAGGAAUCAGCUCACGUGAUUAUGGAGGCUGAAAAGUUCCAUGCUCUGCCAUCUGCCAGCUGGAAAUCCAGGAAAGCCAGUGGUGUAACUCAAUCCCAGUUCAAAAGCUUGAGAACCAGAGUUGCUCGUGGUGUAAAUCCCAAUCCAGGGCACGAGAAGACCAAUGUCCCAAUUCAAACAGGCAGACAGGAAGGAAAAGCAGGGCUAAUUCUUCUUUCCCCUGCCUUUUGUUCUAUUCAGGCCCUCAACCAAUUUGCUGAUGCCCACCAUAUUGAGGCAGGCAAUGUGCUUUCCUGAGGUCACCAAUCCAAAGGCUAAUCUCAUUCAGAAACACCCUCAUGGACACACCCAGAAGAAAAUGUUUGAUUUGGGCAACCCCCAGCUUGACCUUCAGUCAAGGUGACACAUAAAUUUAGCAAUCACAGGGAUGAUAGUACCUACAUCACAGGGGCUGUGGUAGAUGAAGGUAUGUAAUAUACACAGUGUGCUUAAGACUAUUCCUAGCACAUGGGGCCAGAAAAGUAUUUUUCAUCAUUCUAUCACCACCAUCAUUAUUAGUGCUCUUAUUUAUUAUUUGGGGACUGAGGUCAUUUAUUUGAGAAUAUAAAUGAAGAAAAGAUAAAACUCAGGGCAGUGAGCAGGCCAACAUUUUAGAAGAGAAAAAGCUGGGGAAGAAGAAUGAGAAGGAGGGAUCAGGAGGGUAGGGGAAGAAAAGCAUUUCAAGAAUGCACAAAAUCACCAUGUGUUGAAGGAUGCUGAGAGUUUGUUCAAGAAAGACAAGAAUGGAGAUGUGAACACUGGAACCUGAAGCAAACACUUGUACCUUUGGAGCCAUAUGAUUCCACCCAUUUGCAGGUCUAACACAGACCCUUCUUUAAAGCACCUAUGUUAGUUGAGAAGAGCUUUGCGUAGACAUCUCCUGGUUUUGACUGCUGAGAGUCCUUCUUUCUUCUGGUAGCAGCAUCCUAUUCUUCCUGUGAAUUUUACAUGCCAAACUCAGUAUGUGGACUCAGUGAAUCUGUCUGUUUUGGCACUCUACCCUCUUCCACCACAGACAAGGGCUGACUCAUCAGAAUCCUCUCUAGAAAGGUAUAUUUCAAAGUUUGGGGAAAAUAUUAUCUCUUUAUACUUUUGUUGUUGAACUGGAGGGAUAUAAGUCUGGGGUUAUAGAUAGACAACCAUCUUGCCUGGAAAAUGGAGAGACCCGCUAAGGGAGGCAAUGACAGAAUCCUGAUUUUACUGUUGCACCUAGAUUUAGCCAUGCCUGAAGCCAUACUCACCCUUAGGAUUCCUAGCAUUCUUCAAUCGGCAUGAGAAGGAUUUCAGUCACUGUCAGCCAAGAGCAUUUUGACUCUAUCAUAAAUAUUUUCACAGUGAUUAUGAUAUAACAUCAAGUGAGAUUUAUGUUUUGGCACAUCCAAAAUCUAUUUUUUUUUUUAAAUGGAAAGUAUAUAGCAGAGAGGGGGGACUCUGUAGAAUUCAAUUAGUACAUGCAUCUCAUUGACAGGACCAAGUUCUCCAUUCCUGACUGUGAGCUCUGGGUUUGGGUUCUUGGAUAGUCUGUAUUAUUACAGUCAUAUGUGCAGCAGCAGCCACAUGACACGCAGGAGCAAUGGACAAGGCAACAUCAGGAUGUUAUUUGAUCUGGUAGCAGGUAGCAAGCCAGAUUCAGUCACAGGGUGAAACCGUAGGGACAUAAUGUUAGUUCCUGGGGAACAAAUGUGAGAGGGAAGGUUUUUAAAGAUAAGGCAAGGAAUGUUCUUGGGAGAAACAGAGAAUGAUGUAAUAGCUUGAUGAAAACAAAGAGAAAAGCUCAGCACUCUAGUCAGUUUGAAUUCAUCUUUACAGGGAAUAGAAAUUAUGUCUAGCUAAAUUAAGCAAAAAAAGAAUUUAUUACAAUGGUGUCGCAUCCAACACCAGAAUCUCUAAGUUGGCCAAAGAAUCAGGCUUGGGGGACACAGGGCCAACUGCCAAAGCACAACAUAAACCUGGUCCAGCAAAGAAGCCAAGCACUGCUUGCCUCUCAGAUACAACCAGCGGUGGUUAAUAGAUGUGGCUGCCACCUUCUCCAGAGUGCAUUGUGCAUGGCCUCUGCUUUGUUAGGUCUCAAGCUUCCAAUCCCUGUGUGACUUUGGGGGCACUGGGAGUGGGAAGCAGAGGGCAGAGAGCCAAGUGCAGCCGGCAGGCCAGGUCUCUGUGCCAUGCCCUAGCCGAAAGAAAGCUGUGAAGUGGAUAUAGUCACUGCCCCCUUCUAUCGCAGCACAUGAACUCUGGGAAAUAUUGUGGACUAUUCUCCAAUAUAAGGAUGUUCAGGGAGUUCCCGUCGUGGCUCAGUAGUUAACGAAUCUGACUGGGAACCAUGAGGUUAAGGGUUCGAUCCCUGGCCUCACUCAGUGGGUUAAGGAUCCGGCAUUGCCAUGUGCUGUGGUGUAGGUCGCAGAUGUGGCUUGGAUCUGGCGUUGCUGUGGCUCUGGCGUAGGUUGGCGGCUAUAGCUCCAAUUAGACCCCUAGCCUGGGAACCUCCGUAUGCCGCAGGUGCAGCCCUAAAAAAGACAAAAAAAUAAAAAAUAAAAAAAGGAUGUUCAAAUGAUGAGUGGCCAGGAAUAAUGGCAAACAUCCAGCCCCAUUAAAAUCCAGUGUGGGCAGUGAUUCAGAGUGUAGACUUUGGAAUAAGACUGCCUCCAUUCAAGCUCAAGGUCUAGUACUUCCUUGCACCUCGAUUUCCUUAAGCCUCAUUUUACUUAUCUGAAAAAUGGAGAAAAGAAUAGAACUUUGCCAGAGUUGGUGUAGAAAGUAAUGCUCAUGUGAUGAGACAAAGUUUGAGCCUGCAGUUGCCUGGCUUUUCCCUCUCUUUGUCUGCUAAAGGAGAUUCUGGUGGUCGCCUUUUGGAUUAUUUUGUUCCCAUAUCCUCCAAAGAAGGCCCUGUUAUUGCCAAAGUUGUUCCUAGGGCUUUCGUGAUAUAGAUUUGGGGAGAAGAUCAGGAGGAAUAUAACUCAAGAUGUGUUUUUGCUAGGUUUAGGAUGAGGGAAGAAUUUUCAAGGAUUUUGGAGAAAGAAAGACUGGAGAUCCAGUCUAUAGGAGAGCAAAGGGGCUUUUGAGACUAUUUCUCUUACAAAAGACAGAGGAGUUUUUGCUGAGGUACCCUGGGUUACGAAUCCUACGGCAGCAGCUCCGUCACUGUGGAGGUGAGGGUUUGCUCCCUGGGCUGGAACAGUGGGUUAAAGGAUCCAGCGUUGACACAACUACAGUGUAGGUCACAGACUCAAUACCUGGCCCAGGAACUUCCAUAUGCCAUGGGUGC
rnacentral:lncRNA from 1 species